rnacentral:ncRNA from 1 species
UUGGUAGAGGCGCGGUAUUUAUCAGUAACGCACGGUAUAGAAGGCAAAUUGCUUUGCGUGAAAGGAAAUGCCGCCGAAGGGAAGCGGAUAUGCCUUAAAUCCGUUUUCUUGGGCCGUCGGGGAAUACCUGCCGGACUGUCGCAGUUAUGUUUGCGGAGGGCUAUCGU